rnacentral:rRNA from 1 species
CGGUGGUGAGCGGCGAACGGGUGAGUAACACGUAGGUGAUCUGCCCAUCAGACGGGGACAACGAUUGGAAACGAUCGCUAAUACCGGAUAGGACGAAAGUUUAAAGGUGCUUCUGGCACCGCUGAUGGAUGAGCCUGCGGCGCAUUAGCUAGUUGGUAGGGUAAAGGCCUACCAAGGCGACGAUGCGUAGCCGACCUGAGAGGGUGAACGGCCACACUGGGACUGAGACACGGCCCAGACUCCUACGGGAGGCAGCAUG